UACGGAGGAUGCGAGCGUUAUCCGGAUUUAUUGGGUUUAAAGGGUGCGUAGGCGGACGCUUAAGUCAGCGGUAAAAUUGCGGGGCUCAACCCCGUCGAGCCGUUGAAACUGGCAGACUUGAGUUGGCGAGAAGUACGCGGAAUGCGCGGUGUAGCGGUGAAAUGCAUAGAUAUCGCGCAGAACUCCGAUUGCGAAGGCAGCGUACCGGCGCCAGACUGACGCUGAGGCACGAAAGCGUGGGGAUCGAACAGG
rnacentral:rRNA from 1 species